rnacentral:rRNA from 1 species
AAACCGGAGCUAAUACGGAUAAUAUAUUGAACCGCAUGGUUCAAUAGUGAAAGACGGUUUUGCUGUCACUUAUAGAUGGAUCCGCGCCGCAUUAGCUAGUUGGUAAGGUAACGGCUUACCAAGGCAACUAUGCGUAGCCGACCUGAGAGGGUGAUCGGCCACACUGGAACUGAGACACGGUCCAGACUCCUACGGGAGGCAGCAGCA